rnacentral:rRNA from 1 species
UGCCAGCAGCCGCGGUAAGACGAACCGUACAAACGUUAUUCGGAAUCACUGGGCUUAAAGGGUGCGUAGACGGUGCGACAAGUUGGGUGUGAAAUCCCUCGGCUCAACCGAGGAACUGCGCCCAAAACUGUCGUGCUAGAGGGAGAUAGGGGUGGGCGGAACUUAGGGUGGAGCGGUGAAAUGCGUUGAUAUCCUAAGGAACACCGGUGGCGAAGGCGGCUUACUGGGUCUUUACUGACGCUGAGGCACGAAAGCUAGGGGAGCGAACGGGAUUAGAUA